rnacentral:lncRNA from 1 species
UUGCCUCUACCCUCCCACUGGGAGAGUAUACAUCUCAAGACAUGUAGUCUUUGACGAAGAAAACUUUCCAUUUGCUGAGAAGUAUAAGCAUCUUCAACUUCAACUGUCAACUCCACUCAUGUCUGCUUGGCAACGAAGCUUUCCUCCGGAAAAUCAAUCUCAACCUGCAAGUGAUGACAACAAUCAGUGUCCACCACCAGCAACUCCGGAACCAUCAGUCACAACAGAGCAAACCAUACCUCUGUUUACUGAAAAAGAUUUCCCUCCUCUGCAACAAAAUGCCGAAGCUUCAGGCUCCAGUGCGAUAACUUCCCUCCCACAGCCCCGGUGCAACCUGUUCCAGUUCAACCACCAACAGUUAGUGAUCAAACUGCAUCCACUUCGUGCCAUCCUAUGACUACGAGAUCUAAAGCAGGAAUUCGGAAACCAAAUCCACGAUAUGUUCUCAUGACUUCUAAACUGACCUAUCCGGAACCUAAGACAGUCACAGAAGCUUUACAAGACAAAAGUUGGCAUGAUCCUAUGUCUGAAGAGAUCAACAACUGUCAUGAAACAGGGACUUGGAUUCUUGUUCCUUACAAGGAGGGAAUGCACGUUCUAGGCUGUCGGUGGGUGUUCCGAACUCAACUCAAUGCAGACGGAACGUUAAAGAAGAAGCGAUCACGACUAGUAGCAAAAGAAUAUGAACAAUCUGAGGGAAUAGAUUACCUUGACACGUACAGUCCAGUUGUGCGAACUGCGACGAUAAGACUAGUUCUCCACACUGUUACGGUGAUGCAAUGGGCGAUUCGUCAGUUUGAUGUUCAGCACGCUUUUCUCCACGGUGACCUGAGUGAAACAGUCUACAUGAGACAGCCGGCUGGUUUCGUGGAUAAGGAUCAUCCAGACCAUGUGUGUCUCCUCCGCAAAGCCAUCUAUGGUCUGAAACAGGCUCCACGGGCCUGGUUUGACAAAUUUAGCAUGUUCCUCUUGGAGUUUGGCUUCACU